CCACUUCAAAUCAUCUUUCUCAACUUUCACUCAAGUAGCAGGAAUAAGAAUGCGACUAUUGCUCAGCCCUUCAAUCAACGGAAUGGCUGUUGGAAGAUAAAACCUCCUCCUAGCUCCCGCUUGGCAAUCAAGCUUGAAUUUAUACAUCUUACUUUACUCCUAGAUACGAUCACCUUAGAUCUUGAAGGUGAUCGAGUUUUUUGGAAACUUGAACCAAAUGAUAUAUUCACAACUUCUUCUAUGUAUUUCUUCUUCAACUCCAAAGAUAUCAAAUGUUGCUUUGCUCCAUCUCCACGGAAGAUCGCUACCUUGCUGAAAAUUAAAUGCUUCAUGUGGUUAUGUUGGAG
rnacentral:lncRNA from 1 species